rnacentral:rRNA from 1 species
UCCGUAGGCGGGCAAUUAAGUCAGAGGUGAAAUCCCACAGCUCAACUGUGGAACUGCCUUUGAUACUGGUUGUCUUGAGUUAUAGUGAAGUAGAUAGAAUAUGUAGUGUAGCGGUGAAAUGCUUAGAGAUUACAUAGAAUACCGAUUGCGAAGGCAGUCUACUAACUAUAUACUGACGCUAAUGGACGAAAGCGUGGGGAGCGAACAGGAUUAGAUACCUGGUAGUCC